rnacentral:rRNA from 1 species
AUUAAACGCUGGCGGCAUGCCUUACACAUGCAAGUCGAACGGCAGCACGGGGCAACCUGGUGGCGAGUGGCGAACGGGUGAGUAAAGCAUCGGAACGUGCCCUGGAGUGGGGGAUAACGUAGCGAAAGUUACGCUAAUACCGCAUAUUCUGUGAGCAGGAAAGCAGGGGAUCGCAAGACCUUGCGCUCUGGGAGCGGCCGAUGUCGGAUUAGCUAGUUGGUGGGGUAAAGGCCUACCAAGGCGACGAUCCGUAGCGGGUCUGAGAGGAUGAUCCGCCACACUGGGACUGAGACACGGCCCAGACUCCUACGGGAGGCAGCAGUGGGGAAUUUUGGACAAUGGGCGGAAGCCUGAUCCAGCCAUGCCGCGUGAGUGAAGAAGGCCUCGG